rnacentral:rRNA from 1 species
CACGAACGCUGGCGGCGUGCCUAAUACAUGCAAGUCGAGCGGAAGUUGGAGAGCUUGCUCUUCAACUUUAGCGGCGGACGGGUGAGUAACACGUGGGCAACCUGCCCUGCAGAUCGGGAUAACUCCGGGAAACCGGUGCUAAUACCGAAUAGUUUUCGCCACCUCCUGGUGGCGUACGGAAAGACGGUUUCGGCUGUCACUGCAGGAUGGGCCCGCGGCGCAUUAGCUAGUUGGUGGGGUAACGGCCCACCAAGGCGACGAUGCGUAGCCGACCUAGGAGGGGGAUCGGCCACACUGGACGAGGACACGGCACAGACUCCUACGGGAGGCAGCAGGAGGGAAUCUUCCGCAAUGGACGAAAGUCUGACGGAGCAACGCCGCGUGAGUGACGAAGGUUUUCGGAUCGUAAAACUCUGUUGUGAGGGAAGAACGAGUACCAACUAACUACUGGUACCUUGACGGUACCUCACCAGAAAGCCACGGCUAACUACGUGCCAGCCGCCGCAGUAAUAC